AUGGCCACGCGCACCACCGCCCACGGCGCCACCGGGGACGACGAGGUGGCGGAGGCGGCGGGGACCGCGCUCCGCCACCGCCACGGCCACGCGGGCAAGGGCGCGGGGGAGGCCGCCAAUGGCGGCGCCAGCCCCGAGGACGCCUCGGUGGAGCAGGUGUUUGCGGACAAGGCGGUGCCGUCGUGGAGGGAGCAGCUCACGGUCCGGGCCUUGGUCGUCAGCGCGCUGCUCGCCGUCAUGUUCAGCGUCAUCGUCAUGAAGCUCAACCUCACCACGGGGAUCAUCCCCUCGCUCAACGUCUCCGCGGGGCUGCUCGGCUUCUUCUUCGUCCGCCUCUGGACCAACGCCUUCGAGCGGAUGGGCCUCGUCGGCCACCCCUUCACCCGCCAGGAGAACACCGUCAUCCAGACAUGCGUCGUCUCCGCCUACGGCAUCGCCUUCAGCGGUGGGUUUGGCAGUUAUCUAUUCGGAAUGAGUGACACAAUAGCUAAGCAAGCAACGGAGGCUAAUGAUCCUUGGAACAUCAAGGAACCUCACCUUGGAUGGAUGAUAGGCUUUCUUUUCCUCGUCAGCUUUAUUGGGAUUUUUGCACUUGUGCCCAUGAGAAAAAUCAUGAUUGUCGACUACAAGUUGACCUAUCCAAGUGGCACAGCAACUGCUUAUCUCAUCAAUGGUUUUCACACACCUGAGGGCGCCAAGCUUGCAAAGAAGCAAGUGAAGAUACUGGGCAGGUACUUUAUGGUGAGCUUUUUCUGGGGCUUUUUCCAAUGGUUCUUCAGUGGUGGCGAUGACUGCGGUUUCAAGAACUUCCCAACAUUAGGCCUUGAAGCUUACAAGAAUAGGUUUUACUUUGAUUUCUCUCCUACAUAUAUUGGGGUUGGCAUGAUCUGCCCACACAUCGUGAAUGUGUCUGUUAUGCUAGGAGGUAUCAUCUCGUGGGGUAUAAUGUGGCCCCUCAUUGGCAAGAAAAAGGGGAGUUGGUACCCUGCUUCUCUCCCAGAAUCUAGUCUUCAUGGGCUGCAGGCUUACAGGGUCUUUAUAUCCAUUGCUUUGAUUCUUGGGGAUGGAUUGUAUAACUUUGUCAAGGUGCUUAUCCGCACAAUUGCUGGCUUCAUAUCAAUGGUUCAUAAAAAUUCAAAAGCCAUGCUUCCUGUUUCAGACAAUGGCAGCCCCACCGCUGAAGCUAUGUCCUUUGAUGAUGAGCGUCGCACUGAACUAUUCCUGAAAGAUCAAAUCCCCAUGGCAGUUGCAUAUGGAGGCUAUGCCGUAGUUGCUUCUAUAUCUAUCGGCACUCUUCCUCAGAUCUUCCCGCAGCUCAAGUGGUACUACAUUUUAGUUGCCUAUGUGGUAGCACCUGUGCUGGCCUUCUGCAAUGCCUACGGAAGUGGGCUCACUGAUUGGUCCCUUGCCUCCACCUAUGGCAAGCUUGCUAUCUUCGUCUUCGGUGCAUGGGCUGGCCUUGCCAAUGGCGGUGUGCUUGUAGGACUUGCCGCGUGUGGUGUGAUGAUGAGCAUCGUGUCAACUGCCUCUGACCUGAUGCAAGACUUCAAGACUGGUUACUUGACUUUGGCGUCACCAAAGUCCAUGUUUAUCAGCCAGGUGAUAGGCACAUCAAUGGGCUGUGUCAUUUCGCCCUGUGUCUUCUGGCUGUUCUACAAGGCCUUCAGCGACAUCGGCAUAAGCGGCAGCGAAUACCCAGCGCCUUAUGCCAUUGUGUACCGAAACAUGGCGAUAUUGGGUGUGGAUGGCUUCAACACGCUUCCGGAGAACUGCCUGACUCUCUGCUACAUCUUCUUUGCUGCAGCUAUUGUCAUCAACCUGAUAAGAGACUUGACGCCGCACAAGUUUUCGAGGUUCAUCCCGCUCCCUAUGGCAAUGGCCAUACCUUUCUACAUAGGAUCAUACUUUGCGAUCGACAUGUUCCUGGGCAGCUUCAUACUCUUUGUUUGGGAGAAGAUGAACAAGGCAAAAGCAGAUGCCUACGGACCUGCUGUCGCUUCAGGGCUGAUUUGCGGGGAUGGGAUCUGGACCCUGCCUCAGUCCAUUCUUGCCCUUGCCAAGGUGAAUCCUCCCAUUUGCAUGAAGUUCUUGACAAGAGGAGACAACGUCAAAGUGGACAAAUUCCUUGGUGGCUAG
rnacentral:rRNA from 1 species